rnacentral:rRNA from 1 species
GAUGAACGCUAGCUACAGGCUUAACACAUGCAAGUCGAGGGGCAGCACUAGGUAGCAAUACUGAGGUGGCGACCGGCGCACGGGUGCGUAACGCGUAUCCAACCUUCCCGAUACUCUUGGAUAGCCUUCCGAAAGGGAGAUUAAUACAAGAUGGUGUUUCAAUUCCGCAUGUUAUUGAAACUAAAGAUUUAUCGGUAUCGGAUGGGGAUGCGUGACAUUAGAUAGUAGGCGGGGUAACGGCCCACCUAGUCUACGAUGUCUAGGGGUUCUGAGAGGAAGGUCCCCCACACUGGAACUGAGACACGGUCCAGACUCCUACGGGAGGCAGCAGUGAGGAAUAUUGGUCAAUGGUCGGAAGACUGAACCAGCCAAGUAGCGUGAAGGAUGAAGGUUCUAUGGAUUGUAAACUUCUUUUAUACGGGAAUAAAACACCUUACGUGUAGGGUCUUGUAUGUACCGUAUGAAUAAGCAUCGGCUAACUCCGUG